AGAGUUUGAUCCUGGCUCAGGAUAAACGCUGGCGGCGUGCCUAACACAUGCAAGUCGAACGCCCUUAGCAAUAAGGGAGUGGCGGACGGGUGAGGAACACGUGGGUAUCUGCCUUGAGGUGAGGGAUACCAGCGAGAAAUCGCUGACAAUACCGCAUAGCCUUCUCACGAAGGAAAGUCGCAAGACGCCACAAGAUGAGC
rnacentral:rRNA from 1 species